UGCCAGACUCCUACGGGAGGCAGCAGUGGGGGAUAUUGCACAAUGGGGGAAACCCUGAUGCAGCGACGCCGCGUGGGUGAAGAAGUAUUUCGGUAUGUAAAGCCCUAUCAGCAGGGAAGAAAGAAGACGGUACCUGACUAAGAAGCCCCGGCUAACUACGUGCCAGCAGCCGCGGUAAUACGUAGGGGGCAAGCGUUAUUCGGAUUUACUGGGUGUAAAGGGAGCGUAGACGGCGCUGCAAGUCCGGAGUGAAAGUCCAUGGCUUAACCAUGGUACUGCUCUGGAAACUGUGGAGCUUGAGUGCGGGAGGGGCAGGCGGAAUUCCUGGUGUAGCGGUGAAAUGCGUAGAUAUCAGGAGGAACACCGGUGGCGAAGGCGGCCUGCUGGACUGCAACUGACGUUGAGGCCCGAAAGCGUGGGGAGCAAACAGGAUUAGAUACCCUAGUACGC
rnacentral:rRNA from 1 species